UUGCUCUUCAACGAGGAAUUCCUAGUAAGCGCAAGUCAUCAGCUUGCGUUGAUUACGUCCCUGCCCUUUGUACACACCGCCCGUCGCUACUACCGAUUGAAUGGCUUAGUGAGCCCUUCGGAGUGGUCCAUUUGAGCCGGCAACGGCACGUUUGGACUGCAAAGUUGGGCAAACUUGGUCAUUUAGAGGAAGUAAAAGUCGUAACAAGGUUUCCGUAGGUGAACCUGCGGAAGGAUCAUUAGUGAUAUAAGCAUAUAGGCCGUCAGGUCUAUAUGCUAACCUUCUACUAUACCAACCACUGUUUAAAAAUGUUACUAGAAUGUCAUAGCGCGCUACUUAGCCACGAAAAAGAAAGCUUUAAUAAAACUUUCAGCAAUGGAUCUCUUGGUUCAGGCAUCGAUGAAGAACGCAGCGAAAUGCGAUAAGUAAUGUGAAUUGCAGAUACAGUGAAUCAUCGAAUCUUUGAACGCAAAUGGCGCUCUAUGGUAUUCCGUAGAGCACGUCUGUUUGAGCGUCGCGAACAUCUCCACAAGCUGGUUUUACUAGUGAAUGGGUUAUGAGGUUGUCUAGUGAUAGACUUCCUUCAAGUGGAUUAGCAGGGCUCUAUAGAAGGGUUAAUACUGUGUGUUAUAGUGGAUCCUAUCCAUCACCAGUCAGAGAAGCAAUUCUUGCCUUGAUAUAGUAGCUAAUCAGCUUCCAACUGCCUUCAUUGGCAAACACCUCGAUCAAAUCGACCUCAAAUCAGAUGGGACUACCCGCUGAACUUAAGCAUAUCAAUAAGCGGAGGA
rnacentral:rRNA from 1 species